AUGAGUAAGGCGUACGAUCGGGUGGAGUGGAAAUUUCUUCGUGACAUGAUGUUGAAAAUGGGCUUUAAUAGAAGAUGGACGGAGCUAGUGAUGAAAUGUGUCACCACAGUUAAAUACCAAGUUAAGGUGAAUGGUGAUACAACAAAUACUAUCAUUCCAGAGCGAGGGCUUCGCCAAGAUGACUCUCUACUCCUCAUUGAAGCAAACACCAAUAGUGUACAUGAAAUGAACAGGAUCUUCAGUACGUAUGAAGCUUGCUCAGGUCAAGCCAUAAAUAAAGAGAAAUCUGCAAUCCUUUUCAGCAAGAACACGAAGCUGGAAGACAAAAGCGAGGUGAUGAACAAAUUGUGUAUCACUAAAGAGGGCUUUUCAGGUAAAUACUUGGGACUACCGGUAUACAUUGGCAAAUCCAAGACCAAGGCUUUCCACUACCUGAAAGAAAAGAUAUGGAGCAAAUUGCAAGGUUGGAAAGAAAAAAUGCUCUCAAAAGCUGGAAAGGAGAUUUUGAUCAAGGCGGCUGCGCAAGCAGUACCAGUCUAUGCAAUGGCAUGCUUCGACCUCACAAAAUCAUUGUGUGACGACAUCAAUGCAAUGAUAGCUCAGUAUUGGUGGAGCCAUAUGGGUAAAGAAAAUAAAAUUCAUUGGGUUAGCUGGGAAAAAAUGACAAAGCCUAAAAAGGAUGGUGGAUUGGGAUUUAGAGAUCUAUACUGUUUUAACCUUGCCAUGCUGGCGAGGCAAGCUUGGAGAAUUCUAAAGAAUCCCACAUCACUAUGUGCACAAGUCCUAGCGGCAAAAUACUUUCGAGAUCGAAACUUGCUGGAUGCCGAGGCAAGAAAUGGAAUAUCCUACUGUUGGAGGAGCAUCUUAAAAGGGGUACAGGUGCUAAAGAGCGGGGUGGUGUGGAGAGUAGGAGAUGGAGAAAGUAUAAAUAUUUGGACUGAUCAUUGGCUCCCAAAGGGAAAAUCAAGGCUGGUCAGUUCAAGGAGGGGAAAUCAAAUCAUAACAAAAGUCGCAGAGUUGAUUGACCCAUCCUCCUACACUUGGGAUGAGGAACUUGUACGACAAACCUUUAAUGAAGAAGAUGCCCGGGCAAUUCUUCAAAUCCCAAUACAUGAAGGGCAAGAGGACUAUGUGGCGUGGCAUUUUGACAAAAAAGGGAAGUUCUCAGUAAAAUCAGCAUAUCAAGUAGUGCUUGAGAGUCAAGCAAGGGAAUCAGAUAAAAGCAUCCCUUCUACUUCUUACUGCCCUGAGAGGAGCACAUUAGGCAUGUGGAAGAACCUAUGGGCCCUACCACUGGCAGGGAAAAUUUUACACUUUUUAUGGCGACUAGCAAACAAUAGCCUCCCGCUCAGAAUGAAGAUCAAGAGAAGAGGCAUAGAACUAGAUACAAGAUGCCCGGUAUGUCUUAGAAUGGAUGAAGAUGGGGGCCAUUGCUUUCUAAAGUGCAAAUCAGUUAAGGCUCUAUGGAGAGCAGCUCAACUGGAAGACACACGUGAAUUACUAGUUAACUGUCCAAAUGCUAAUUCUGUGAUGCAGGAAAUACUCAAACAGGAUGAAGAUACUUGCAUAAGGACAUGUGUUUUGCUAUGGACCUGGUGGGGUGAGAGAAACAAAGCAAAUCAGGGAAACAAGAUGCGAAGCCUAGAGGAGAUAUAUCACUCUUAUCAGCUUCAUUCAACUCACUUGGGAGGAUGGGGUUUUACCAUCAAGAAUGAAGAGGGUGAGACGCUGGUGGCGGGAGCAGGUAAUCUUCAAUUCAUUGCUGAUCCUCUCCAUGCAGAAGCUACUGCAAUGCUACGUGCAAUUCAGGAAGCAACCAGAAUGGGCUGCUGCAAGGUCGUCUUGGAGACAGACUCAGUUGUAUUAAAGCAGGCGAUCACAAGCAAUGAUUAUGAUGACUCGACACUGGGCGCUCUAUUUAAAGAAAUGAAACGUAUUAUUCAAUACUCUUUUCAAUGUUGUAAGAUAGAUGUAUGCCCAAGGGCCUGUAAUGUAUCAGCACAUGUGUUAGCUGCGUAUGGUGUGAGUCUGGAGCAGGCAAGCUAUCAAAUUUGGCUUGACCCGCUUCCUGAUUAUGUACAAGACUUGGUUGCUGGGGUUUCUCCAGCUCUCUUGAAUUAA
rnacentral:rRNA from 1 species